rnacentral:lncRNA from 1 species
AUGGCGUUUAGUCCCCUCGUGAGCACCAGGAAUCUGGGGGAUUUGAAGGGAAGCGUGUCCCUCACCAGAUACUUUUUAGUCGCUUGGUCUGACUGUGACCCUAUAGACCAUAACCUACCAGGCUCCUCUGUCCAUGGGAUUCUCCUGCGAGAAUACUGGAGUGGGUUGCCAUUUCCUUCUCCAGGGGAUCUGACCCAGGGACUGAACCCAUGUCUCACAUCUCCGGCAUUGGCAGGCGGGUUCUUUAGCACCAGCACCGCCUGGAAUGCCCAGAUCUGGGCACAGCACAUACGGUGCAUGAGAGGAGGCGACUGUUCCGAGCGGAAGGCUCUAAAGCCUGUUCAGUUGCCCUGGGAGAAUGCUGAGGGUUGUGUGGCUUGUGAGGGUGGGCAGGCGGGCUGGAUGGCGGCGACCCUGUAGAGACAGUUCCGAGGCCCUGCCGACGGACUGAAGGGGCGGGGGGAGGCCGGGAGUGGUCUCAGGUCCCCAGGUUGUAACCCACAUCGUGUGCCAUCAAGAUCGUUUAGUGAGUAUGCUUGUUCAUGCCUCGUGUUGUGCCUGUGCAAGAAGGGAGUCUUUAAUAUACUGCAGGUGGAAUUGUUGAAUUAAAUAUGUGCCUUUUAAAUGUCAAUAUGUUGUCAGACUUUCCUCUAUAGAUGUUUUACCGUUAAUGCCCGUUUCUUAGACCCUUGUAAUAUGGUAUCAACACGCUCUUCCCCAGUCUGUAGAUUUUCAAAAAUCUAAUUGCGUUUUAAUUUGCAUUUCUCUGAGUUUGCACAUUGUUCUAUAGCUUUCAGAGGCAUUUCCGAUUCCUUUCAGGGCACUUGGUGGCACUCUCUGAUUGCCAUUUCUCUUCUCGGAAGUUGGACUUUCUGGCCUUCUUUCAGGGUUUCUCACAUCACGAUCCCAGAGUUUGGGUGGAUAUAUUGGGAUCUUAUUAACGCAGUCGUUAUCUAUUCCUAUUUUAAGAGCUUGUCUUCAUGAAGAGGGAGUGUCGUGUUUCUGCAGGUGCCUUCAGAGCAUCUGGGGCCGGUCACUUGGCUCUUCUCCACUGAGCGGGGUCAGUGAGUGGGCUCAGGUCCCCAGGUUGUAACCCACAUCGUGUGCCAUCAAGAUCGUUUAGUGAGUAUGCUUGUUCAUGCCUCGUGUUGUGCCUGUGCAAGAAGGGAGUCUUUAAUAUACUGCAGGUGGAAUUGUUGAAUUAAAUAUGUGCCUUUUAAAUGUCAAUAUGUUGUCAGACUUUCCUCUAUAGAUGUUUUACCGUUAAUGCCCGUUUCUUAGACCCUUGUAAUAUGGUAUCAACACGCUCUUCCCCAGUCUGUAGAUUUUCAAAAAUCUAAUUGCGUUUUAAUUUGCAUUUCUCUGAGUUUGCACAUUGUUCUAUAGCUUUCAGAGGCAUUUCCGAUUCCUUUCAGGGCACUUGGUGGCACUCUCUGAUUGCCAUUUCUCUUCUCGGAAGUUGGACUUUCUGGCCUUCUUUCAGGGUUUCUCACAUCACGAUCCCAGAGUUUGGGUGGAUAUAUUGGGAUCUUAUUAACGCAGUCGUUAUCUAUUCCUAUUUUAAGAGCUUGUCUUCAUGAAGAGGGAGUGUCGUGUUUCUGCAGGUGCCUUCAGAGCAUCUGGGGGCCGGUCACUUGGCUCUUCUCCACUGAGCGGGGGGUCAGUGAGUGGGCUGGGCCUCCCAGCCUGAUUCUGUGCUCGGCAGCCCCCACCACCCCACCGUGGCCUCGGUAUCCUGUUCCUCAGCGCUUUCUGUUUGUGUGCCUUUCAUUUGGGAUAGCAUUUGCAUAUCGUUUUAAGUGCAUCUUAUUCAUCACUGAAACAGCUUCUGGAAGAUGGAGAACUUUGUCGUGAUUAAGUUACCUGACCCCUCAUUUAGCCCCUGCAGUUUAGCUGUGGUGUUUCACACGCGACCAGUUUGCAGUUGCCUCCUUGAAGUGCUGCUCCCCGUCUUAGCUUGGAUGCUCAGAGCUGAGCUCUCCUCCCUCCACGGGUGGGCUCUCCACGCCCACACCACCCCCGCCGGAAUACCCCCUUGACCUGCUCCUUCGCCUUGUGACUUAGCCACCGAGGUGAACAUCACUGCACGUGUCCAUCUGCUUGUCCCGUCAGCGGGUCUAAAAUGAUCCCAUCCUUCACCCCACCCCAAGCCCGCUGCUCCACUCGACGUGCCCGCGUCUGUUUGCGGUCACCCCUCAUGUUUCCCUGGUGGUCCCGGCUGCGUCACGGGUGUGCCCUGCCGCGUGCCACCCAGGGAGCCUGGUGGGGACAAGGAGGGCAGGGGGCAGACGCGGACACCUCUUCACAGCCAGACGGUGGCCUCCCGUGCAGCUCAGACUGAGUGUGUGCUCAGAGGGGAGGGGGCGUCUGGAAGGAUUAUUACUCGGUCACUAUGUCUCUGCAGAAAGAAAAGUUAUUUAAAAGCAAAAAUGACCUGUUGAAUUUUGUAAUGAAGAGACCGGAUUUCACUGUGUAAAGACUCGGAUGAUUUAUAAGUCUUUAAACCCCAGUGGAGGAAAAGUUAUUACUUAAUACUAUCUUAGACAUUCAGUCUUACUGAAAGAAUCUCGGUAGAAGGCAAUUAGAAGCUUCAGGUGCGCUUUUGCCUCUGCCGGAGGGUUGGGGCAGAUGGCAUUCCUGUCCUGGGCGAUUUGGAGCCUGAGGACGACAGCACUGUUAGAACGCGGACUUUUACAGCCGGCUUCGAC